CAGACUGCCGUCCCACCAAGAAGCCCCCUGCUAACAACCAUUUACCCACUGCAUUCAAGGUCUCCAGUGGGCCCCAGAAGGAAGGUCGGAUGAGCCAGCGGGGCAAAGUACCCAAGCCCGGUACAGGGAGCAAGCUUUCAGAUAGGCCUCUCCACACACUCAAAAGGAAGUCAGCUUUCAUGGCACCUGUCCCUGCCAAAAAGCGGAGCCUCAUCCUGCGAAGCAACAAUGGAAGUGGGGUAGAUGGGAGGGAGGAAAGGGCUGAGAGCUCCCCUGGCCUCUUAAGGAGGAUGGCCUCACCCCAGAGGGCCAGACCCAGGGGCAGUGGGGAGCCACCCCCACCCCCACCCCUAGAGCCACCUGCUGCAUGCCUGGGGUUGGCUACACAAUCAUCCCUGCCCAGUGCUGUGAGGACCAAGGUGCUGCCACCCCGAAAGGGCCGUGGCCUCAAGCUGGAGGCCAUAGUACAGAAGAUCACCUCACCUGGUCUCAAGAAACUUGCAUGCAGAGUGGCAGGGGCCCCUCCUGGGA
rnacentral:lncRNA from 1 species